CAAGCUGGGCUGCAAAGGGGAGAAGCACCAGAAUCUAGCAGGCUGAGCGCCUGAUUAUUAAUUUAAUGAUUUUUAGCCCAGAUUGAAGAUGCAAAUUCUGGCAAUAAGAAAUAACUUGACAUGGAUAUUAUGAGAUUACCAAAACCUCACAGUAGUAGUAAUAACAAUAAUCAUCUGCUAUUUGAAAAGAUGCUGAAAUCCAUGGAAAUUUUAAAAUAUUAUUCUUAGAAAUCUUUCCCCUAAAUGCUUUGUCUUUCCUGAAAGUGACAGAAAAGGAGAUAGAAAGCGUAAAGAGCUCCACGUAUCCACACUUGUACCUCUACGGUUUUACAUGCGCUCUUGGCCGUCGCCCGGUGUUGGAUGCAACUGGAUACUUCACGUCUAAGGAGAUGGAGAAAUAAAUUGCAUUGCUCUCCCUGCAAGUCUGAUCAAGCUCUGAAAGGUGAGUUCCCUAGGAUAAAUCUUCAUUUCUCCCAUGUGAAGAAUGAUGCUGAGAUCUGCCCAUGGAAGAUUACAUUCUAGGAGCAAGAGGCACAAAGGACCUUUGCUUUUAGACUUUCCUUUAAGAGGUCCACAACAUAUUGAGCAAAGUGGAAUGAAAUGGAUUAACCUUUGGAAGAUAAAAGGUAAUCAGGACUGAACAAUGCUCCCCGUGGUUAGACCACAAGCUUUUUAUGAAAGCUUUAUGAUCAGUCUGUGCGUGUAUCUCAACAGUUCCU
rnacentral:lncRNA from 1 species